rnacentral:rRNA from 1 species
CUACACAUGCAGUCGAGCGGUACAGGAGAAGCUUGCUUCUCGCUGACGAGCGGCGGACGGGUGAGUAAUACUUAGGAAUCUACCUAGUAGUGGGGGAUAGCUCGGGGAAACUCGAAUUAAUACCGCAUACGACCUACGGGAGAAAGGGGGCAACUUGUUGCUCUCGCUAUUAGAUGAGCCUAAGUCGGAUUAGCUAGAUGGUGGGGUAAAGGCCUACCAUGGCGACGAUCUGUAGCUGGUCUGAGAGGAUGAUCAGCCACACCGGGACUGAGACACGGCCCGGACUCCUACGGGAGGCAGCAGUGGGGAAUAUUGGACAAUGGGGGCAACCCUGAUCCAGCCAUGCCGCGUGUGUGAAGAAGGCCUUUUGGUUGUAAAGCACUUUAAGCAGUGAAGAAGACUCCAUGGUUAAUACCCAUGGACGAUGACAUUAGCUGCAGAAUAAGCACCGGCUAACUCUGUGCCAGCAGCCGCGGUAAUACAGAGGGUGCAAGCGUUAAUCGGAAUUACUGGGCGUAAAGCGAGCGUAGGUGGCUUGAUAAGUCAGAUGUGAAAGCCCCGGGCUUAACCU